rnacentral:rRNA from 1 species
AUGCAAAUGGAAUAUCGAGGUCAACGAUACUCAAAUCUGAAGAGACCUGCAUUAGAAGAAAAAGGGAACAAGUUAAUCCCUCAUGAGAAAAUCUCUGUAACUUGUUGUAUCACCAUUCCUUUAAGAACUCUUACCCGGCUAAGAACCCUUCCUAGAGGUGUAGAAUCAAAAAAGGACAUUGGUGCAUGGAACAAUGAAUUGAGUAGCUGGGAAAAUAAGGAUCUUGAUGACUGGACCCCAAGAACAACGACUGUUAAAGAUCUUGAUAGCAAGAAGAUCAUUGUGCAAGCUCCGAUAAUAAUGUACACAGAAAUUAACUUCAGUGUGCUAACAUGA